rnacentral:tRNA from 1 species
GGGUUAAGGCUCUAGCUUAAUUAAAGUGUCUGGGUUGCAUUCAGAGGAUGCAGGGUAGUAUCCUGCGAG